rnacentral:tRNA from 1 species
GCCUUCGUGGUGUAGUGGUCAGCAGACUGGGCGCCGUAUUCCAGAGGCCCGUGGUUCGAGUCCCGGCGAAGGCG